UACAGAGGUCCCAAGCGUUGUUCGGAUUCACUGGGCGUAAAGGGUGCGUAGGCGGUCGGGUAAGUCCGACGUGAAAUCUUCAAGCUUAACUUGGAAACUGCGUCGGAUACUAUUCGGCUAGAGGAAUGGAGGGGAGACUGGAAUACUUGGUGUAGCAGUGAAAUGCGUAGAUAUCAAGUGGAACACCAGUGGCGAAGGCGAGUCUCUGGACAUUUCCUGACGCUGAGGCACGAAAGCCAGGGGAGCAAACGGG
rnacentral:rRNA from 1 species